rnacentral:rRNA from 1 species
GACGAACGCUGGCGGCGUGCUUAACACAUGCAAGUCGAACGGAAAGGCCCCUUUGGGGGUACUCGAGUGGCGAACGGGUGAGUAACACGUGAGUAACCUGCCCUUGACUUCGGGAUAACUUCAGGAAACUGGGGCUAAUACCGGAUAGGAAUCCUUGCUGCAUGGUGGGGGUUGGAAAGCUUCGGCGGUUUUGGAUGGACUCGCGGCUUAUCAGCUUGUUGGUGGGGUAGUGGCUUACCAAGGCUUUGACGGGUAGCCGGCCUGGGAGGGCGACCGGCCACAUUGGGACUUAGAUACGGCCCAGACUCCUACGGGAGGCAGCAGUGGGGAAUAUUGCACAAUGGGCGGAAGCCUGAUGCAGCAACGCCGCGGGCGGGAUGACGGCCUUCGGGUUGUAAACCGCUUUCAGCAGGGGCGAAGCUUGUGGUGACGGUACCUGCAGAAGAAGCACCGGCUAACUACGUG